UAAUACGGAGGGUGCAAGCGUUAUCCGGAAUCAUUGGGUUUAAAGGGUCCGUAGGCGGGCAAUUAAGUCAGAGGUGAAAUCCCACAGCUCAACUGUGGAACUGCCUUUGAUACUGAUUGUCUUGUGUUAUAGUGAAGUAGAUAGAAUGUGUAGUGUAGCGGUGAAAUGCAUAGAUAUUACACGGAAUACCGAUUGCGAAGGCAGUCUACUAACUAUUGACUGACGCUAAUGGACGAAAGCGUGGGGAGCGAACAGGAUUAGAUACCCUGGUAGUCCACGCCGUAAACGAUGGUCACUAGUUGUCGGGGCGCAAGCCUCGGUGACUAAGCGAAAGUGAUAAGUGACCCACCUGGGGAGUACGAUCGCAAGAUUG
rnacentral:rRNA from 1 species